GAUGAACGCUGGCGGCGUGCCUAAUACAUGCAAGUCGAGCGAACGGACGAGAAGCUUGCUUCUCUGAUGUUAGCGGCGGACGGGUGAGUAACACGUGGAUAACCUACCUAUAAGACUGGGAUAACUUCGGGAAACCGGAGCUAAUACCGGAUAAUAUUUUGAACCGCAUGGUUCAAAAGUGAAAGACGGUCUUGCUGUCACUUAUAGAUGGAUCCGCGCUGCAUUAGCUAGUUGGUAAGGUAACGGCUUACCAAGGCAACGAUGCAUAGCCGACCUGAGAGGGGGAUCCGGCACACUGGAACUUAGACACGGUCCAGACUCCUACGGGGAGCAGCAGGUGGGAAUAUUUCCCAAUGGGCGAAAGCCCGGACGAGCCAACGCGCGUGUGUGAAGAAGGUCUUCGGAUUGGAAAACACUUUUUGUUGGGAAGAAAGAUAGUUAUAAAAUACCUUGCUCUUUUGACGGUACCCAAAGAAGAAGCCCCGGCUAACUUCGUG
rnacentral:rRNA from 1 species